rnacentral:rRNA from 1 species
CGUAGGGUGCAGGCGUUAAUCGGAAUUACUGGGCGUAAAGCGUGCGCAGGCGGUUUGCUAAGACAGGUGUGAAAUCCCCGAGCUUAACUUGGGAAUUGCGCUUGUAACUGGCAAGCUAGAGUGUGGCAGAGGGGGGUGGAAUUCCACGUGUAGCAGUGAAAUGCGUAGAUAUGUGGAGGAACACCGAUGGCGAAGGCAGCCCCCUGGGUUAACACCUGGACGCUCAUGCACGAAAGCGUGGGGAGCAAACAGGA